UUUCCUUUUCUUUUCCCACUACUGAGUGUACAAAGCCUGCCAAACCUGGAGACCUUCACAGGGAUCGAGAAGGAAAAGCUCCUUGCCUGGCUGGAUUUUCCAUUGCUUUCUCAGCUGUGCUCUGUUUGUUACCCAGCUUCGCUCUGCAGCCAGCGGGUACCACUGCACACGGGCACAGAGCACCAUGUGUGCUCUGGAAUCUAGGGAAAAUUGAUCUUAUGUGAAAGGAUUGCAUUCUCCUCUCACACUGCACAAAUGCCUGUGUUAAGGACCGUGGCAUUGCAUGAGCACAGCCUGGUGAAAGCUGGGAACUGGCUGAAAAGGCCUUUUCUCACAGUGUCCCUCAGCUUUAUACUCCUCAGAGCGCACCAUGCAAACAGGAAAUUAUGCUUCCUUUCCCCCUCACUGUCCUGGCUUGGAUUUCAGCUCCUCCCGUCUAAUAUCAGCCAGGGCAGAUAAAGUUAUUUUACAGGAAGGAGUCGGUGCUUCUCCAGAGCGUUUUUACAAAUAGUUUAAGUAAUGUUUUUAACAUUAUCUCCUGCUAAAGGGAUAAGCACUAUCCCCAUUUCACAGGUGUGAAAGUCAAGGCAAUGAGGUGCAGCAAUUUGGUCAUGGUGUUGAAAGGAAAUUAUGUUGAACUGGCAGCACUGAAUUCAUGUAAUGUAUCCCACGUCUUGACUGCAGAUGAGCGCUAAUGCUGUCAUGCUCUAUAAAUAUCUGCCAGUGAGUGUACGCGGGCUUCAUGUGGAUGCAGAGAGCCCUACCCUACCCUCAAACUUCAAUUCAGUGUCUGAACAUAUCCUGUUACAGAUGGGGUGGAAAAUCUGAGCUGGUCUGGCCCGAAGCCUAUCCCGGAUCUGGAUUCUCCUUCUCUCUCAGACAGCACGUGAAGUUCUGCUCUGCUUUGCGCUCCAGCACGAAUAGCAUCAGCAGGUUUGAAGGAGGAUGAGAGGCUGCCCUGCACACUCAUUUCUCAACACAGACUGCAUGCAUCUUCAGUCCUUCUGCUGUCAGGACAAACCAGCAGAAGGUGAGUGAAAAGGUUACAGUUAUCUGGUCUAAAAAUAGUUUGAUUUAACCUGAAAACAUCUAAAAAUGUAGCACUGGAAGGAGACUGGUGCAUUCCAUUAGAUUCCUCAAACUAUGUGAUGCCGAAGAUGAUGCAGCAAAUUCCUGCUUCUGCAGCUGCUUUUUGGGAACUGAAAGAUUUCCUGACUAAGGUCAGAGAGGUCACAAAGACC
rnacentral:lncRNA from 1 species